rnacentral:rRNA from 1 species
UACGUAGGUGGCAAGCGUUAUCCGGAUUUAUUGGGUGUAAAGGGCGUGUAGGCGGGAAUGCAAGUCAGAUGUGAAAACUAUGGGCUCAACCCAUAGCCUGCAUUUGAAACUGUAUUUCUUGAGUGCUGGAGAGGCAAUCGGAAUUCCGUGUGUAGCGGUGAAAUGCGUAGAUAUACGGAGGAACACCAGUGGCGAAGGCGGAUUGCUGGGCAGUAACUGACGCUGAGGCGCGAAAGCGUGGGGAGCAAACAGG